rnacentral:rRNA from 1 species
UGGGGAAUAUUGGACAAUGGGCGAAAGCCUGAUCCAGCCAUGCCGCGUGGAUGAUGACGGCCCUAGGGUUGUAAAGUCCUUUUAACGGGGAAGAUAAUGACGGUACCCGUAGAAUAAGCCCCGGCUAACUUCGUGCCAGCAGCCGCGGUAAUACGAAGGGGGCUAGCGUUGCUCGGAAUCACUGGGCGUAAAGCGCACGUAGGCGGCUUUCUAAGUCAGGGGUGAAAUCCUGGAGCUCAACUCCAGAACUGCCUUUGAUACUGGAGAGCUUGAGUUCGGGAGAGGUGAGUGGAACUGCGAAUGUAGAGGUGAAAUUCGUAGAUAUUCGCAAGAACACCAGUGGCGAAGGCGGCUCACUGGCCCGAUACUGACGCUGAGGUGCGAAAGCGUGGGGAGCAAACA